rnacentral:misc_RNA from 1 species
GAUGAAGAACGCAGCGAAAUGCGAUACGUAAUGUGAAUUGCAGAAUUCAGUGAAUCAUCGAAUCUUUGAACGCAUAUUGCGCUCUUUGGUAUUCCGAAGAGCAUGCUUGUUUGAGUAUCAGUAAACACCUCAACCUCUUCUUGAUUUUUCAAAAGGAGGAUGGACUUGAGCUAUCCCAACAACCUUUACCGGUCGGCGGGCGGCUUGAAAUGCAGGUGCAGCUGGACUUUUAUCUGAGCUAAAAGCAUAUCUAUUUAGUCCUCGUCAAACAGGAUUAUUACUUUUGCUGCAGCUAACAUAAAGGAUAAUUGUCCUCUUUGCUGACUGAUGCAGGAUUUUACGACACUUUAUGUGUUGUUCAACUCGAUCUCAAAUCAAGUAAGACUACCAGCUGAACUUAAGCAUAUCAAUAAGCGGAGGA